CCAUAUUGUCUAGUGGUUAGGAUACCUGGCUCUCACCCAGGAGGCCCGGGUUCAAUUCCCGGUAUGG
rfam:Daphnia pulex DAPPTscaffold_3057_Cont14647, whole genome shotgun sequence.